GGCGGGAUGAAGCGAGGAUUAGCCUAAUUAAUAAUUAGUAGGUCGGGGGUUCGAUUCCUCUUUCCGGCACCA
rnacentral:tRNA from 1 species